rnacentral:rRNA from 1 species
UACGUAGGGUGCAAGCGUUGUCCGGAAUUAUUGGGCGUAAAGAGCUCGUAGGCGGUUUGUCGCGUCUGCUGUGAAAACUCGGGGCUUAACUCCGGGCCUGCAGUGGGUACGGGCAGACUAGAGUGCGGUAGGGGAGACUGGAAUUCCUGGUGUAGCGGUGAAAUGCGCAGAUAUCAGGAGGAACACCGGUGGCGAAGGCGGCAUCCUGGACCAUUACUGACACUGAAAAGCGAAAGCCAGGGGAGCAAACGGG